rnacentral:lncRNA from 1 species
AUGGGGUGGGGACAGGAAGGAGUUCUGACAAGACUGCAAGAUCUACACAGACCAAAGCAGCAAAGGAAACGCAUGACAAUAACAUUUUGUAAAUGGUAUUUCAUAAACCAGUUUGAUCCAGUGAAUGAACCAGGUGAAGCUCAACACUCAGAGAAGAAUGAUGAAAGCACAGGAGGAGAGUCUGAAAUGAAGUCUGUACCAUCCACAACCAGUGAGAAAGGUAACAUUAACCAAGAACUGAUUGUACAGUCACAUUGAUUUUAUAGAUUAUAUUUCAGUGGAGUUUUUAACAGAAUUAGAUUAUUUACUUUUAUUUUGUCAGUGCAUUGACAGAGUGCUGUCUGUCUACCUUUUACAGUGUUGUUUCAGUGAU